rnacentral:rRNA from 1 species
UACGGGGGGGCAAGCGUUGUUCGGAAUUACUGGGCGUAAAGGGCUCGUAGGCGGCCAACUAAGUCGGACGUGAAAUCCCUCAGCUUAACUGGGGAACUGCGUCUGAUACUGGAUGGCUUGGAUUCGGGAGAGGGAUGCGGAAUUCCAGGUGUAGCGGUGAAAUGCGUAGAUAUCUGGAGGAACACCGGUGGCGAAGGCGGCAUCCUGGACCGAUAUUGACGCUGAGGAGCGAAAGCCAGGGGAGCAAACGGG